rnacentral:rRNA from 1 species
CAAAAUCUCAACUUUAUUAGAAGAGACGCAUUUAUUAGAUAAAAAGCCAAUGCAUGCUUUUACAGUAUGAAAAUUGGUGAUUUAUAAUAACUUAGCAAAUCGCAUAGUGAAAACAGGCGAUAAAUCAUUCAAGUUUCUGACCUAUCAGCUUUCGACGGUAUGGUAUUGGCUUACCGUGGCAGUGACGGUUAACGGGGGAUUAGGGUUCGAUUCCGGAGAGGGAGCCUGAGAAACGGCUACCACAUCUAAGGAAGGCAGCAGGCGCGCAAAUUACCCAAUUCUAACAGUUUGAGAGAGGUAGUAACAAGAAAUAACAAUACAAGGCAGUUAAAAUGCUUUGUAAUUGGAAUGAUAGAAAUUUAAACCCUUUUUAAAGUAUCAAUUGGAGGGCAAGUCUGGUGCCAGCAGCCGCGGUAAUUCCAGCUCCAAUAGCGUAUAUUAAAAUUGUUGCAGUUAAAAAGCUCGUAGUUGAAGUUCUGCUAAAAGUAACCGGUCUGCUUUGAAUAAAAGUGGUAUCUUGGUAUGUAUUUAGCAAUGAUGUCCUUUGAAGUGUUUUUUACUUUAUUGUAAUAAAGCAUAUUCAGGACUUUUACUUUGAGAAAAUUAGAGUGUCUAGCAGGCCACACUUAUG